ensembl:snRNA U6 U6 spliceosomal RNA
GUGCUCGCUUUUGCAGCACAUAUACUAAAAUUGGAAUGAUACAGAGAAGAUUAGCAUGGCCCCUGCCCAAGGAUGACAUGCAAAUUCAUAAAGCGUUCCAUAUUUUU